rnacentral:lncRNA from 1 species
GGGCAAUCUGCGGAUGACCUGCCACUCCCCAGCCUGAGGAGUGUAGGGUGGUUGAUUACUGUACUCCCAUCUCAGCCUGUGAUUCCGGAACGUACGGCAGUGAUGGAAUUCAGCAAUCCUCCAUCGCAGCUAGCCGAAAGCUCCUCUCCCAAAUGCUCCCCUAUUCUUGGAUACAAUCAAUAUGUACAAGAAUGAAGCUGUAAUGGUGCCAUAAUAAUAAUAAAUAUCAACAGAAAACAUUGAGCAAGCAUAUCUGUGCUUUCCAAUAUAAUCUGGGGUUGGUGCUGUCUCUAAACUUUGUAAACUUGGGAUAUAGAUUCAAUAUAUAUUCAAUAUUUAAGUGUGUGUGCGUGCAUGUGUUUAUAUUUGAAUAAACUGGAAUAUCAUGAGUUCUUGUUUCCACUUGGAAACAUUUGGCUUUUGCUUUUUCCAGAUUUCAUAUGGUUCAUUUGAACCAGCUACAAAUUAUGGAACCAAGUUCCCUUCCUUUUACCGCAUGGUUCCCAAUGAAGACCUUCAGUAUCAGGGAAUUAUCCAGUUACUUCUGCAUUUCAGAUGGAAAUGGGUUGGGCUCAUCACUCCAGCUAAUGAAGCUGGGGAACGUUUCUUACAGACAAUUGAGCCAAUGCUUUUCAAGAAUGGAAUCUGUUCGGCAUUCACAGAAAGCUUUAAACCCAAUAUACAUUAUAACAGUAACUUACUAGAAAUGCUGGAGGACUCAAGGAUUUUGUUACCAACUUUCACAACCAGCAGAGCUAAUGCAAUUCUUCUAUAUGGAGAAAGUAGAUCUAGUAUAUGGUUGUCAAGUGCUUUAAGCAUGAUGGAGUUUACUCAGCUACUAUAUCCUCAAAAGAAGUCACAUGAAGGAAAAGUAUGGAUUACAACUACCCAAAUUGAUUUCAUAUUAUAUAGCCUUCAAAAAAAAAUUAAUGUUAAAAUACGAAUGCUCCAUGGUGCAAUAUCCUUUGCAAUUCACUCCAAGGAGAUUCACAGCUUUCAAGACUUUCUUCAGAGUGUAUACCCUCAUUGGAAAGAGACAGAUGGUUUUAUCCAAGAUUUCUGGGAAGAUGCAUUCAGUUGUUCACUUCCAAAUUCCACUCUCUCAGCAACCAUGUGUACUGGAGAGGAGAUGCUGGAGAGCCUUCCUGCACCAUUUUUUGAAAUGAGCAUGACUGGCCACAGCUACAGUGUUUAUAAUGCUGUCUAUGCUUUGGCACAUGCCUUACAUAGCAUGCACUUGGCUGCAGUCAUCUGCAAAUGGAGAGGUGCUAGGGGAAGUCUCUCUCCUCAAUAUGUAGAACCUUGGCAGGUAUUGUUCUCUGUUACAAAGCAUUCACUGCAUUGGUACAUUAUGAUAGUUGGCAUUUAAUCAUCAGUAAAGAAAUAAAAGAAUAAAACUUAAGAAAUUAAAGAUGAACCUUAAGUAAAUUUAUUGUAUGAAAGAUGGGAAUUAGAAUAUUUCCUAUAAUGAUACUAAACAGACUUUAGAUGACACAGACUUUCAGAAGCAACAGACUACAAACAAUUACCUCCUUCAUGCUGCAAACCCCUCCGUUUUCUCCAAAUAUCCCUCCCCACUUCUCUCUGUCUCUCUUACCUGUCCAGUUACCCAGUGGUGUAAGAUUGGGGGCCCCGGGCGCAUAAUUCUGAGCAAGUACAACCAGGACCCCAACCCUAGGCACCAUAGGCACUAGCUUUUGCAGGUAUCUUCAUAUCCAAAAGAAAACAGAAGAGCAGCCCAUCAGGGAGCUGCCACUGCCUGAACACAUCCUGGAAGGCCCCAUCCCCAACUCCUCAUCUUUCCCUGUCUGUCAACCACCAGGGGUUUCUGGGCCCUGAAGCCUUGCUGGCUGACCCCCAGAAGAGGCUAGCAAUUGUGUGAUCACCAUCUCAAGACCCUACCCAAUUCUCUCUGUCUCUCUUACCUGUCCAGUUACCCAGUGGUGUAAGAUUGGGGGCCCCGGGCGCAUAAUUCUGAGCAAGUACAACCAGGACCCCAACCCCAGGCACUAGCUUUUGCAGGGAUCUUCAUAUCCAAAAGAAAACAGAAGAGCAGACCAUCAGGGAGCUGCCACUGCCUGUGUUGAAUGGUUUCUUUAAAUGUAAAGGUUCAUCAUUGUUCCACCCGAUGUGUAUGUCUUUAAGGGGCCAGAGCAAGGGCCAGAGCAAAAUAAUGAGACCCAGCUUUACAGCUGUGAAACAUAGCAGGUGCUGCUGAGUUGUAUUGAUUAAGCUGUGUCAGCGAUUGGGUGUAGUAUAUAAGGAGCAGCACCUAGCUCUCCCAUUAUCCUGGGGGAUGGGUUGGGUCUGGUUUGUUGUUGAUGUAUUUAGUGUAUAAGGAGUUUUUGUUUUUGUAAUUAAAACCUUGUUUAAGUUAUUUUUGAGUCCCUUUUUAAUGCAUGGUCUCCCCAGCAAGCUCUCUGCAGCGCUACCAUACUGCAAAUAGCCAACAGCCUGAACACGUCCUGGAAGGCCCCAUCCCCAACUCCUCAUCUUUCCCUGUCUGUCAACCACCAGGGGUUUCUGGGCCCUGAAGCCUUGCUGGCUGAUCCCCAGAAGAGGCUAGCAAUUGUGUGAUCACCAUCUCAAGACCCUCCCCAAUUCUCUCUGUCUCUCUUACCUGUCCAGUUACCCAGUGGUGUAAGGUUGGGGGCCUGUGGCCCAUUGGCCCUGGACACAUAAUUCUAAGGGAGAACAACCAGGACCCCAACACCAGGCACUGGCUAUUGCAGGGAUCCUCAUAUCCAAGAGAAAACAGAAGAGCAGCCCAUCAGGGAGCUGCCACUACCUGGGCACAUCUUGGAAGGCCCUGUCCCCAGCUCCUCAUCUUUCCCUGUCUGCCAAUCACCAGGGGUUUCUGGCCUCACUGGUAGGUCCCCAGAAGAGGCUAGCAACUGUUUGAUCACUGUCUCUAGACCCUGCGUUUCUCCCUUCUCCUCUUCUGCCUUUGAGUCUGGAUUUCAGUCUGCCACAGCCUCUUCCUGCUCCCUUAACCCUGUUGCCUUUUCUGCAUCUGACACCUCUUCCUCCUAGUCUGCUCCCUCUUCUGCCACUGACCACUCCUUGUCAUCCCACCACCAAUCCCCUGCCUCUGAGCCUCCUUUCCUUGGGGCAUCCCUUUCGGGUUCUCCAGCUGUUGCUUCCUACCACUCCUCUGCAUCCAACAUCCAACCAUGCUCAAAUCCACUCUAUAAACUAUGGAAAGGUCCAGUCCGAUGUUCUCAUGUUGCAUUCCUAUCAUUUGAGGACAUAAGCUCCCAUCUCUUCUCUUACAUGACUUCUCAAAUUCCAUCCCUUUCUUGGAUACAGACAAAGGCUGGUCUCAGGCAAGCAGGACUAUGGUCUCUCCAUCCUGAUGCAAGUCUGUUGAAUGUUGAAUUGGCACUGAUUCAUGAUUUCCUACUCCUCCUGUAUGUGCAACUAAAAUAUGGAUGUUCUUCGUUGUGAACUGAAUUGUUUAACUUUGAUUCUCUUUCCACUUAGCUCCACUCAUUCCUGCAGAGAAUCUCAUUCAACAACAGUGCUGGAGAUGAAAUUACAUUAAAUGAAUAUGGAGAGUUAGCAGCUGGCUUUGAUAUUACCAACUUGGUCACUUUCCCAAAUAAUUCCUAUGUCAGAAUCAAAGUGGGCAGGUUGGAUCCUCAGGCCCCUCCAGGUAAAGAGCUCACCAUUAAUGAAGACAGAAUCAAAUGGAACAGACGCUUCACUAAGGUAUGGGAAUACUGAUAUCUUCUUAAGUUUGUAUGAUACAGAGAACAGCAGCUUUUUACCCCACUGUAUGUGCCACUUGUGUACCUACGGAUCAUUUCACGCUAUUAGUCCUCCUAUUUACUAUUACAUCACCUGAUAGUGGAUAUUUGAUAAAUUCCCCAAAACAAUAUCAUAAUAUUAAACUCUUCCUAUCUAUUUGGAUAGGUGCCACCGCUUUCUGUAUGUAAUGCCAACUGCCAUCCUGGUUACGGGAAGAAAAAGAAGGAGGGGGAGAAGUUUUGCUGCUAUGAUUGUGAUCCAUGUCCAGAAGGAAUGAUUUCAAAUGAGAAAGGUUAGAGAUGACAUCUUAAGAUACUGCAGAACCUCUGGGCUCCUGGCAAUUUUGUUGACAUUAAACUGCUGCAGGAGAAAAGGCUUAAAUUAACAGAUGUGUUCUUCUCACAGUUUAUAGAUAACAUCAAUAUAUUUUAAUCUUUAAAGCAUCUUGAAGAUUUCUUUUUUAAGUGGAAGCUAAUAUAUUUUUCCUCCAUCGUCUACAAAAUUAGGGUGGAAUAGAAGUGGUGUUUUCUCCUCUAAGAAUUAGGUGGUUUGACAAUAGGGUGAAACUCUUAUCAAACUCACUUUUCUGAGAUCCAAAGAUUUCAGCUGUAAUGCAUUUCUCAUUUUGUUGUACUGUUUAUGUGGCUCUAAGAAAAAGCAGGGAGACAAUAAAGAAAAAAAAGAUGUUACCCAUGUAGAAAAUUCCAGAAUUGAUACACAACUUUUAUUUUAGAUACACCUAGUACAAAAGCAUUUGGACUUGAAGCUCGUAUACAUUCUGACGUAGAAAACACUAUGCUAAAUGGACUAGUGAUGUGAAAUUCUUAAUAAUACUUUUGGUUGCUUCAAAUUGUCACGCACUGUUUGUGUAUUUUCAGACAUGGAUACAUGUGUCAGUUGCCCAGCAGAUCAGUAUCCAAACAGCGGCCAGGAUCUAUGCAUUCCUAAGACUCCAAACUUCCUAGCCUUUGAUGAAACCUUGGCCAUUGUUUCAUCUUCCUCUGCACUUUUAUUCGCUCUAAUCACAUUUCUGGUGCUCAGCAUCUUCAUUAAGCAUCGCAAUACAGCCAUAGUCAAAGCCAACAACCGAAGCCUCACCUAUGGUCUCCUUAUCUCCCUCCUCUUGUGUUUCCUCUCUUCUUUGCUGUUUAUCGGAAAACCUAAUAUGGUGACUUGCCUUCUCCGACAAACUGCUUUUGGCAUUGUCUUCUCUGUGGCCCUCUCCAGCAUCUUAGCCAAAACCAUAUUGGUGGUUUUGGCAUUCAUGGCUACCAAACCAGGAUCCAAUAUGAGGAAAUGGGUAGGCAAAGAACUGGCUUAUUCCAUUGUCUUUUCCUGCUCCAUUGUUCAAGUAGGGAUCUGUGUCCUCUGGCUGGCAACCUCUCCCCCAUUCCCAGAUGUGGACAUGCACUCAAUGCCUGAAGAAAUCAUAUUUCUAUGUAAUGAAGGGUCAGUCUCCAUGUUCUAUUGUGUUUUGGGCUACAUGGGAUUCCUGGCCACUUUCAGCUUCACGGUGGCCUUCUUAGCCAGGAAGUUGCCUGACAGCUUCAAUGAAGCCAAGUUCAUCACCUUCAGCAUGCUGGUCUUCUGCAGUGUUUGGCUCUCCUUCAUUCCAACCUAUCUGAGCACCAGAGGAAAAUACAUGGUGGCUGUGGAGAUCUUCUCCAUCUUUGGUUCUGGUGCUGGGUUACUGGCUUGCAUUUUUUCCCCUAAAUGCUACAUUAUUGUGGUGAGGCCUGACCUGAACAACAAAGAGCAGCUAACACAAAGAAAGGUAUAAAUGACAGUGGAAUUUGUGGUUCUGUUGAGUCUUAUGGACUUGGUGGCGGGUAUCACUUUCCGAGUUCUUGCUCUGGAUCUUUGUAGAGUUUGCUCCUUAACUGUUUUGUCUGCCAAAGAUGUCCCAAAGGCAAUGGGUUCAGAUUUUUCCUCAGGUUCUAGUCCCAAAGCCUUUUUCACAAAUGAGUAAUGCUGUAAAGCAGUGGAGGUUUAGGUUCAAAAUUUCCAUCUCCUAGGUGGGCUCCCUUCCUAGGUUUACGAGACCCAUCUGCCCCUCAUUUCCCUCUACAGCACCUGCAGUAGCCACCUUUUUAAGCAUUGGGCCCACUUUUGCUCUUAUCUGCUAUGUCCUGUCUUUGCAUGCAGAGAAAUUCCCUAACAGACUGAGGAUUUGAGGCCCAUUGGCUGCCCUCACCUGGUUUAGGGAGCCAGCCAGUUGUAUCUGAUUCAUGGGAUGUGGCUGCUGUUGCAAGCUGACAAUUUCUAGGAGCCACAGGUGAGAACUGAGUGAAGGGGUGGGGAUCAGAGGUAGACAAACUACCCCAGAAGGAGCAUGACUUGGUCCCCACUAGAGUUACUACCCCUCCCUAACACUCCAUACACCCCUGUCAUGUAUUAAAGGUAAAGGGACCCCUGACCAUUAGGUCCAGUCAUGACCGACUCUGCGGUUGCGGCGCUCAUCUUGCUUUACUGGCCGAGGGAGCUGGCGUACAGCUUCCGGGUCAUGUUGCCAGCAUGACUAACCGCUUCUGGCAAACCAGAGCAGUGCACGGAAACGGCGUUUACCUUUCCGCCGGAGCGAUACCUAUUUAUAUACUUGCACUUUGACGUGCUUUCGAACUGCUAGGGUGGCAGGAGCAGGGACCGAGCAAUGGGAGCUCACCCCGUCGCGGGGAUUCGAACCGCCGACCUUCCGAUCAACAAGCCCUAGACUCUGUGGUUUAACCCACAGCGCCACCUGCGUCCCUUAAACAUUGCUGCCUCUCCCCGUCAGGGAAUUGAACCCCGGUCUCCCGCGUGACAGGCGGGGAUACUUACCACUAUACUAACCUGUCAUGUCUUACUGUAUAUUUAAAGCAAAUGGAAUCUUAAUAGCAAAACUCUCAGCCUUUUCGUUUAGAAAUGGUUAAGUUCAGUUGAUCAACGUUCUACAUGUACUGUAUAAAUGAUUGUUAAUAAAAAGUCUCUUAUCAAUUACUUCAUGGUAUCUACAAAUUCAUCUUGAAGACAAAAAAAGCGUACCAGAAACAAAAAACAUUGUGAAAUAGUUAAGGGCUCUACAUUCUUUAUCUCUAACACACAAGGCAGCUGAGGAAUAGACGAAGGAGAAGUUUAAAACAGCCAGUUCCCUUGUUUUUUUAAAUAGUUUUAAGAAAGAAAAGGAGCAGAGAUAUGCAACAAUACCUGGAGGAAAACACAUUGGAUAUUACUAACACUAAUAGGACAAACCUUUUAUUUCUGAAAUAUACUUCUAACCAGUUUGAAAGAGAGGCGGCAGAGAAUAUCUCAAGUAAGCCCAUUUUUAAGAAUACAGAUGUGUUGUUUCUAAAGUUGAUUCUAAAGUCUAUUUCUGUUAUAAUAAUUUUUAUUCAUUUUCAAUUACCAUCCAAUAAUAGCAUCAGUAAAACAAUAUCAAAUUGUAAUACUAAUACUAAGCACUCAAAUACUGAAUCAUAUAAUUUAGGUGCCCCUCCCCACAUGCUAGAUGAUUUCCUUUAUUUCUGCAUUCCAAAAUCUUAUUAAUUUCUAUUAUAUUCCAGUCAAAAUAAUAAUCCCUUAUACAACAACUGCAAUAUUAAUAUUUUCUCUUUGUAUUGACACAUUGAUUCAUAGAACUGCAAAUGAGGCACUCAAACUACAUCCUUGUUCUUCCAAUGUGUAGCAGAUAUGCUGUCCAUAGUGUUUCUUCCAGUCCUUCUAAAAUGUUGUGUCUAUUGUGACAGAAAUGUUAGUUCCACAAGUAUUUCUUUUUACUUUUUUCUCCUGCCAGCAAAUGGAUAAAUAACAGCUGCCUCUGACUGGCUGUGGUUCCAGGAGGGAGAGUUUAAAAGGAGCCGAUUUCAAGGGAGAUGGGGUUAGACUGUGGUUAAGAGUGGGGUUGAGUUGAGGUGGUUGAGGAGGGAGGUUGGGAGUUAGGUAGGGAAAUAGGAUAGGAGUGUGGAGGAGGGAGAGUUGGUUCUGGAAUAAAACAUCCACUCCGAGUGUACAGUGAAGGACUGAGUGUAUUGUCCUGCAGGAGAAAUAGAACCAAAUUUUGCUGGGAGACUGAGGGUGAGACAGGAGAAGGAGGAGCUGAAAGAGAUGAGUCUACUUAGGUCUCCAACUAAUCUGGAGGGGAGAGACUCUUCUGAGGAAAGAAGAGACUUCCAAAUCCCAGUGAAGGAAGGGGGUGAGCCCUUAAGACUCUUACUGAAAGUACCUCAGGAGCUGCAUUUGUUAAAGGGGUGGGUAAAUGAAGGAAAGUACCGCCUUAGAAAGGAACCGAACUAUAAAGCCCAAACCUCAGAAACUGAAUUGAAGUGAACUAGCAUAUUAUUAUUGCUGAAGUAACCUAAGUUUCUCGACUUAUAUUAUACUACCUUGCUUUAAAAAAUAAAUCGUUAUUGUUUAUUUAAAGAACACCUGCUUGAGACUCCAACUUUUUGGUUAUCCCCCUCACAAAGAUCCCCCACAGGAUAUGCUGGGAUUGUUAGGGGGUUUUUUUUAAGCCUUCGGGUAAAAAGUUGUUCGGUGUAGUGGGAGCAAUAUAUUAAAGUGAGAGCAGGCACAUGGACGUGAGCAGUAACUGAGGCGCCAAGCUUGGCGCAUCCAUCUUUUCCAAGUUCUUGCUGUUCUCCAUCAUGCCUUGUGUGCAUCUGAUAUCCCAUUGAUGCUAUAAUCCAGUGCCCCCACUUCUUGAUAAGGCAAGGAUGCUAUCCAGAACUGCUGCCACCAUUCAGUUAAUGUGAUGGCAAACCAUGUCUGAUCAGUGUUACAUAGGUGGGAGAGUGAAGGAUGCCCCAGUACUAACAAAUUUGGAAGUAGGGAAAGGAUGGGGCCAUUUCAACUCAAUCCUGCUGACCUUGUAGGUUCAUUCCUUGCCUAUGAUUUUGUGAUAUAUAAUUACAUUGGCAGAUCCAGCUUCCUGUCUACCAGCUGCAGUAAUAGAUGCUUUUGGAUUCACUAUCUGCGGUCUGGAUUCAGAGCGUUCCUCCUAGGCUGGAAAAAAAACGGUGAACACAGCUUUUUUACUGGAAGCCGAAUCACAGGCCAAAGCGAUGCAGUGACUUUUGGAAACUGUGGGAUAACUGCUUCUCCCAGGGCAUGAUGGGAAAUAUCAUCAGUUGCAGGAAUGAAGGAUCCAGCACCAUAUAUGGACGGGAAAACAUCAUGGGGGGAAAUUGUCACACGCAGGAAGAAAUAAGGAUUAAACUUAGAGUUCCUCAAUUGAAACUUUAUAAAUUACCUAAUAUACCAACACAAAUAGAAAUCAGAAGACUGUAGCUGUUAUCUAACAGAUUGCUAUAUGUACAUGGAAUGCAAUGGAAAUUAUUAACAUAGUGGAACACAGAAAUAAUGAAGAAGAAUGAAGCCAUCAAAUCUAGCACCAAGGGGAAACGUUUAAUUAAAUCAUAUAAUUGACAUUUGAAGAAUUGGCAUUCAUAAUUGCAUUAAUUAGAUAAAAUUGGUAUUGUUAUAUUGAGGUCGCUAUCGGAACAAUAUUGGUAAAUCAAUAAAAAUAUAUAUUUAAAAAUUAAUAAUAGUUAUAUUUUGGCAGUUCCCCUACUGCUGAUGCGCCAUAGAAUCCAAAAACACUGCACAAGUGAUUCUCUCCCCUAUCAUUACUCAAAUUACAAUAAUCAAUCCACCUGACUGAACCGCCAAAUGCCACAGUGUAAAAAAAGAAUCAACAAGCAAGCCUGAAAUGAUUAUAAGCUCCUCUGUGCUCCAUAGACAACUAAGCAGGGCUCUGUUACUUAUCAGUUAUCAGUUUCCCUCUUUCAUAUCAAACCACUGCAUCUUAUUUGGUAUCCAAGGCAUUCUGUUGUGAGAAUGUUCAAGCUAACAAUAAGGUGGAUUCAUGUCCCUUAAAGACCCAAAUUGACAGAGUCAGCUGCCACCCAAUUUGUCUUGUUCAUAUCAGGUGGAGGAGAGGAAUAAUACUGUCGAGAGAAGCAGGGGAGUCCAUGCACACAAGGGUAUUUGCCAUCAGGAUGUUCCUCCUGCUGCUUCUGCUGCUCCCCAAUAUAGUGUCCCAAGGACAAAGUGCUAAAUGCACAACUAAUAAUCCUGUUCAUGUUCCACACGAGUGGUAUGAGCCAGGUGACCUGGUCAUUGGUGCAAUGGCAUCUCAUAUCUGUUACAUACACCCCAAAUUAUCCUUCAAGAAACACCCUUCCCAGGACUUCAUGGAUGCCCCAAUGUAAGUAACUGUUAAUUAAUAUUAUUUUAAUUAUUCUUUAAUUAUGCUAUAUCUGACAGAAAAUUACUUUGAUUGAUUGCUAUAGAACUUUAUUUUUUAAAUGUGUGGAGAGAUUUUAUUAGGAAUCUGUACAUAUAGGCUAUGUGAAUAUUGUCGAUGAACAAUAAGCUUUUUUGAGUCUAAUUGUGUAAAGAGAGAGAGAAAAGAGAGUAGGAGAAAGAGAAAAGAGAUGGCAUAAAAAAAUAGGAAAAGUAUAUCGCAAAGUAGUAUGCUACUGAAGUUUUUGAUGAUACCUAAAUUUUCAAAGUGGCAAAACAAACAUGGGUUGCUGAAGAGAUGAAGAAAUAUGCAACAGCUUUUAAAAUUACACAGUAUUCUUAGAUUGCCCAAAUAAGUAAAUAAACUUUGCUGCCUUCAUCCUCUCUUUAUAGGCAGGCAGGUGAAUCUCUCCUAUCUAGAUUCUGUGCACUGUUUAAUUUUCCCAUUAAACAAAAUCUCACUUCAUUUGCAGGGUGUUGACAAAGUUCUACCAGCAAAUCCUGGCCUUGGUGUUUGCUGUUGAUGAGAUCAACAAGAAUCCCAGGAUGUUGCCCAAUGUCUCUCUCGGCUUCCACAUCUAUGAUAGCUAUUAUGAUUCAAAGAUGACCUACCAAAACACUCUGGACCUGCUCUUUAAAUCACAUCACUUUGUUCCCAACUACAGGUGUGGCAUCCAGAAAAAUGUCAUAGGAGUCAUUGGGGGACUCAGCUCUGAUACCUCCUGGUGCAUGGCAAACGUCUUAGGUCCUUUCAAGAUUCCACAGGUAGAAUAUGGAUUUUGAAAAACAGAGAUUUCACGCUUUCCUUGCAUUAGGAAUCUACUGAUUCAUAAAUAUGGAGUGGGGAAAUAGACAAAGUAAAAGGGCCAUAAUAUGCAUAACCAACAAUGUGUGUAAGAAGGGCAAUUUGUGUUUAAUAGAUGUAAUAGAAGAUUUCUCUAAAGCUGCGAGGUUUGUAAAGGAGGCACCUAGACUGGUUCAUAUACAACAAUCCAGAAAGAACUGCACUGGCUUCCUGUGAGCUACUGAACAUAUGACAUUGACAUUGGUUUCAUAGGCAAAAAUAGCUGAGAACACAUUAACUAAAAAUGUUCCUCCCCUUAAAAAUCAAGACAGUCCUUUCCCAAAGUAUGGUGUUAAUCAACAUUGUUCAUUUUCAGAGGCUAAUUGAAAAAGUGUUUUCUUGCUUUGUUCUGGCAUUUGUCAUCUGUCACUUCAGAGCCUUAUAUAGUGGUGUCAGCAUUGUGCUAUUCUGCUGCAUUGUUGUAUUUCAUUUUAGUUGUUUUGAAUAAUUGUUAUUUCCACAAAAUUAAUGACUAUUAAGGUAAAGGCAAAGGGACCCCCGACUCUGGGGUUGCGGUGCUCAUCUCGCUUUAUUGUCUGAGGGAGUGACUAAGCCACUUCUGGCGAACCAGAGCAGAGCACAGAAACAAGGUUUACCUUCCCACCGGAGCGGUACCUAUUUAUCUACUUGCACUUUUGACGUGCUUUCAAACUGCUAGGUUGGCAGGAACUGGGACCGAGGAACGGGAGCUCACCCCGUCGUGGGGAUUCGAACCGCCGACCUUCUGAUCGGCAAGUCCUAGGCUCUGUGUUUUAACCCACAGUGCCACCCAGGUCCCCUAAUGACUAUUAGACUCAUAUUAUAUCACCAAAUACACCACCUCCCCAGUCUCGCUUGCUAUAAAUAAUCAGGCAGUUGAUUCUUUCAGAGGAGGAUUUUGCCAUAUAGCAUAGCAAAACAAAAUAUUAUAACAAAGGAGGCUCACCCCCCCACACACACAGACUUUCAGUUCCAACAUACCAAGUCAACAUGUUUAUCCUUUUUCCGUUCAAAUCCUUUUUACACCUCAGUGGAUGAAUUAAUUAUCAGAGUAGUUUCUUCCCCUUCACUCAGAUCAUGUUCAAAACUUAAAUCCAAUUUUUCAUCUUAAGAACUGGAAACUUGCUGCUAAAUGGAGGCGACUUUGGAGAGUUACCAAGAAACGAUCCAGGCUUUCCAUCCAGCCACCCCCAGCGCCCCCCUUCCUUCUGAAUCUGGGGCCAGGUGUUGGGCAAUCUGUGGAUGAGCUGCCACUCCCCAGCCUGGGGAAUGUAGGGAGGCUGAUUACUCCCUUCUCAGCCUCUGAUUCCGGAACGUACGGCAGUGAUGGAAUUCAGCAAUCCUCCAUCGCAGCUCGCCAGCAGCUCCUCCCCCAAAUGCUCCCCUAUUAUUGGAUACAAUCAAUAUGUACAAGAAUGAAGCUGUGAUGAUGCCAUAAUAAUAAUAAAUAUC